rnacentral:rRNA from 1 species
CAGCCGCCACGGGAAUACAGAGGGUGCAAGCGUUAAUCGGAAUUACUGGGCGUAAAGGGCGCGUAGGUGGUUGCGUAAGUGAGAUGUGAAAUCCCCGGGCUUAACCUGGGACGUGCAUCUUAUACUGCGUAACUGGAGUGCAAGAGAGGGUAGUGGAAUUCCCGGUGUAGCGGUGAAAUGCGUAGAUAUCGGAAGGAACACCAGUGGCGAAGGCGGCUACCUGGCUUGACACUGACACUGAGGCGCGAAAGCGUGGGGAGCAAACAGGAUUAGAUACCCCCGUAGUCCCUGUCUCUUAUAC